rnacentral:rRNA from 1 species
AGCGAGCCCAACCUCCCACCCGUGUUUACUGUACCUUAGUUGCUUCGGCGGGCCCGCCAUUCAUGGCCGCCGGGGGCUCUCAGCCCCGGGCCCGCGCCCGCCGGAGACACCACGAACUCUGUCUGAUCUAGUGAAGUCUGAGUUGAUUGUAUCGCAAUCAGUUAAAACUUUCAACAAUGGAUCUCUUGGUUCCGGCAUCGAUGAAGAACGCAGCGAAAUGCGAUAACUAGUGUGAAUUGCAGAAUUCCGUGAAUCAUCGAGUCUUUGAACGCACAUUGCGCCCCCUGGUAUUCCGGGGGGCAUGCCUGUCCGAGCGUCAUUGCUGCCCAUCAAGCACGGCUUGUGUGUUGGGUCGUCGUCCCCUCUCCGGGGGGGACGGGCCCCAAAGGCAGCGGCGGCACCGCGUCCGAUCCUCGAGCGUAUGGGGCUUUGUCACCCGCUCUGUAGGCCCGGCCGGCGCUUGCCGAACGCAAAUCAAUCUUUUUCCAGGUUGACCUCGGAUCAGGUAGGGAUACCCGCUGAACUUAAGCAUAUCAAUAAGCGGAGGGAA